GCCAGCCGCCUAAGGUGGGAUAGAUGAUUGGGGUGAAGUCGUAACAAGGUAGCCGUAUCGGAAGGUGCGGCUGGAUCACCUCCUUUCUAAGGAA
rnacentral:rRNA from 1 species